AGAGGUGGCAAGCGUUGUUCGGAAUUACUGGGCGUAAAGGGCGCGUAGGCGGUCCCGUAAGUUCCGCGUGAAAUCCCCCGGCUCAACCGGGGAAUGGCGCGGAAGACUGCGGGGCUUGAGUUCGGGAGAGGGAAGCGGAAUUCCGGGUGUAGCGGUGAAAUGCGUAGAUAUCCGGAGGAACACCGGUGGCGAAGGCGGCUUCCUGGACCGACACUGACGCUGAGGCGCGAAAGCUAGGGGAGCAAACGGGAUUAGAUACCCCGGUAGUCCUAGCUGUAAACGAUGAGUGCUGGGUGUAGGGGGUAUCAACCCCCCCUGUGCCGAAGCUAACGCAUUAAGCACUCCGCCUGGGGAGUACGGUCGCAAGGCUG
rnacentral:rRNA from 1 species